rfam:Salmo salar isolate Sally breed double haploid chromosome ssa04, whole genome shotgun sequence.
UCCCAUGUGGCUCAGUUGGUAGAGCAUGGUGUUUGUAAUGCCAGGGUUGUGGGUUUGAUUCCCACGGGGGAC